CAUGUCAAACGGGUCAGACGUCAGAAUAUACUCAAUAUAUGGACCNGGAAUUUUAAUUUAUUUUAAACAGACAUUUGAGUUCAUACUCUCUUUAAUAUUAAAAUACAUGAAAAAAUUCAAGAUAACUAAAUUAGAUGUCAGGGUGAUAUUCCUCUGCUUAUUUUUGAUAGUAAUAGUUUGAAAAUCGUACUUUUGGAGUUACCUAUGUCAGUAUUCUUUCAGGGAUACGACUUCUGCUGUUCAUUUGAUAUUCUCAGACGAAACAUUUCGCAAUUAAAUAUAAUACCUAUCUAGUAUUUUUUACUUGGUAUAUUAAAAUAUUACAAAUUUAAAUUAUAGGUAGGCACCUAUAGAUAGAG